rnacentral:rRNA from 1 species
GGGUCAGUAGGUUGGUCGUGCCACCGGUACGUACUGGUCUCACUGGUUCCUCCUUCCUGAAGAACCGUAAUGCCAUUAAUUUGGUGUUGUGGGGAAACAGGACUGUUACUUUGAAAAAAUUAGAGUGUUUAAAGCAAGCUAACGCUUGAAUACAUUAGCAUGGAAUAAUGAAAUAGGACGAUCGAUCCUAUUUUGUUGGUUUCUAGGAUUGACGUA